rnacentral:rRNA from 1 species
AUACGUAGGGUGCGAGCGUUGUCCGGAAUUACUGGGCGUAAAGAGCUCGUAGGUGGUUUGUCGCGUCGUCUGUGAAAUUCCGGGGCUUAACUCCGGGCGUGCAGGCGAUACGGGCAUAACUUGAGUACUGUAGGGGAGACUGGAAUUCCUGGUGUAGCGGUGAAAUGCGCAGAUAUCAGGAGGAACACCGGAGGCGAAGGCGGCUCCCUGGGAUAUAACUGACGCUGAGGAGCGAAAGCGUGGGGAGCGAACAGGAUUAGAUCCCCUGGUAGUCCAUGCCGUAAACGGUGGGCGCUAGGUGUAGGGGUAUUCGACGUCUUUUGUGCCGUAGCUAACGCAUUAAGCGCCCCGCCUGGGGAGUACGGCCGCAAGACUAAAACUCAAAUGAAUUGACGGGG